GGCCCAUUAGCACAGUUUGUAUGAGCGUUGUGCUAAUAACGCAAAGGUCGGGGGUUCAAUCUCCGCAUGGGCCA